AUGAAAACAUUACCAAGAAUUUAGUUUCCCAUGCAAACGCUGUCGUCUGUUCGUUCGCUCGCUUUUCCAAGUGUUUUUACGGUAAUAAAGCGUAAUAUGUCACAUCCGAGCGUAAAAUUAGCAUUAAUUGAUCUUAGUGGAACGCUGCAUGUCGACCAUCAACCAACUGAGGGAGCUGUUGAUGCGCUGAAAAGACUUCGUGCACAUGGCGUUAAGGUAAAGUUUGUAACCAACACAACGAAGGAAAGUGUUGGCUCGCUGUUCGCAAGGCUAUGCAAAAUAGGUUUUGAGCUAGAGCGAGAAGAAAUCUACGGAUCUUUAGCGGCCGCGGCCGAAUACGUACGCAAAAACAACCUCAAUCCGUACUAUCUCUUGACGGAUGAUGCCCGCACCGAUAUGCCGCCGAACGACCCCACGCGCCCGACGGAUUCAGUUGUGGUGGGCCUUGCACCGGAACGUUUCAUUUAUGAGCAUAUGAACGAAGCGUUUCGUGUGCUGCGCCAGAACAGGGAUGUUCAGCUAGUGGCCAUCCAUGAAGGGCGGUAUUACAAGGCCAAGGACGGUAUCGCACUCGGGCCCGGUUGUUUUGUAAAAGGGCUCGAGUAUAGUUCGGGCGUGGCGGCUGUUUGCAUCGGAAAACCAAAUGAAUACUUUUUCCGCUCGGCCUUGCCGGAAGGAGUUGCUGUUGAAGAGUGCGUCAUGAUUGGCGAUGAUCCUAACGACGAUUGUCUAGGUGCGAUGAGCACUGGAAUGAAGGGCUACCUGGUAGAGACAGGAAAAUAUCAACCGGAAAUGUACAGCAAGGAGAACCGACCAGCUGUGAGUGGCAUUUUUGCCACUUUUCGUGACGUGGUGCAGCAUAUAGUAUCGGGAGGACAGUAAACCAAAGCAGCGGAGAUGGAACGUGCGCUCUUCCUGUCGAACAAGCUCCACCAUCCAACAUUCGAACAAGCAACCUUAUCUGUGGCACCCGUAUCGUGUAAUGUUCGUCGAUAAAACAAUCGACUCCAAAACAUUGCUAGGCUAUCAACUGAUUUGUCCAUGCGCAGCUAUAAAAUGGACGGGCCUUCUACGUGGUGGUCCAGUCCCCCGAAAUCGGGUGUCGUUAAACUUGCCUGCUAGAAAAAUGAACGAUUCUGCGCGUUUGGUAGUGUUCCUGGUGUUGGCGGUCGCGUUUACCGGUAGUCCGGUAGCUGGUCAGCAUGAUCCACACUUUGUCCGCGGUCACAGCACCAUUGUGCAUCUGUUCGAAUGGAAAUGGAGCGAUAUUGCGGAUGAAUGUGAACGUUUCCUGGGACCGAAAGGCUAUGGAGGUGUGCAGCUAUCUCCAGUGAACGAAAAUAUCGUGAUUCGGCAAGCGAACGGGAACCGACCAUGGUGGGAACGUUAUCAGCCCAUUUCCUUCAAGCUAGAGACCCGCUCUGGUUCGGAAGCUGCGUUUGCCGACAUGUCCAGACGCUGCAAUGCGGCUGGUGUGCGUCUCUACGUGGACAUCAUCAUUAACCACAUGGGAGCAACGCAGCCCGUCGAACCGGCUAUUGGUACUGGUGGGUCCACGGCCAUUCCCUCCGAUCGUCAAUUCCCGGCAGUGCCUUUCGGAUGGCCCGAUUUCAACCAACCGUGUGCGAUCAACGAUUGGAACAACGCGAUCGAGAUCCGUAACUGUGAACUUGUAGGACUGCAUGAUCUCAACCAAGGUGUACCGUGGGUUCGUGAUCGUAUCGUCGAUUUCCUGAACCAUCUGAUUGAGCUCGGAGUAGCCGGGUUCCGUGUGGAUGCCGCCAAGCACAUGUGGCCCGCAGAUCUGGAGGUGAUCUUCGGACGACUCAAUAACCUCAACACCGCGUACGGAUUUGCCCCCGGCUCGAGAGCUUUCCUCGCCCAGGAGGUUAUCGAUAUGGGUAGCCACGAAGCGGUCCGAAAGUACGAGUACAUACAUCUCGGCACGGUCACAGAGUUUAUGUUCUCGCACUAUCUGGGCCGAGCAUUCGGUGGAAAUGACGCUCUCCGUUGGUUGUCCAACUUUGGCGAAUCCUGGGGUCUGCUUUCUACUCGCGAUGCGUUCGUGUUCGUAGAUAAUCACGAUAACCAGCGCGGCCAUGAUGGAAUCCUCACGUACAAACAACCAAAGCCGUACAAAAUGGCUACCGCCUUUGCUGCAGCCUAUCCUUUUGGCCAGCUGCGCAUUAUGAGUUCGUUCGAUUUCACCAGCUUCGAUCAGGGUCCACCGGCCGAUGCGCAGGGAAAUCUUCUCUCGCCCAUCAUUAAUCCGGACAAGACGUGCGGCGGCGGUUGGGUGUGUGAGCACCGAUGGCGUCAGAUGUAUAGCAUGAUCCACUUCCGUAAUCUUGCCUGGGGAACGCCGUUGAUGCAUUGGUGGGACAAUGGUAACAACCAGAUCGCGUUUGCCCGUGGAAAUGUCGGAUUCGUAGCGUUCAACCUCGAACCCGUGGACAUGAAUGUGAUCCUGCAGACGGGAUUGCCGGCCGGUAUCUACUGUGACGUCAUUUCCGGGGCCCGUGAGGGUGAAAGCUGCACUGGUCUGCAGGUGAUUGUGGAACCGAACGGGUUUGCAUCGAUUUCUAUCCGAGCCAAUGCUGAGGAUGGUGUGAUUGCCAUCCACAGUGAGUCCCGUCUGUAAAGCCGUUGUGAAUGAGCUGGUGCGGUACUGCUGCCAUUAGUUUGGAAUUUUCCACGAGAGCUCCUCGUACGCAUCACAGUUAUACUGGAACCAUCGGUCCGCACAAAGCUUCGAGCAAAACAAAACGCUCAACACAACGUUUCGCGCAUAUUCUUUCCUAGAAGUAAAAUAAAAAUAAAACAAAAAUUGCGAUUACAACCAA